GGUAGAGCGCAACCUUGCCAAGGUUGAGGUCGCGAGUUCGAGCCUCGUUUCCCGCUCCA
rnacentral:tRNA from 1 species